rnacentral:rRNA from 1 species
UCAAGUUAAUAAGAGCUUUGGGUGGAUACCUAGACAUUCAGAAGCGAUGAAGGGCGUGGUUACCGACGAAACACUUCGGGGAGCUGGAAACAAGCUUCGAUCCGGAGAUUCCCGAAUGAGGAAACUCUUAUACUCUUUUUUCGAAUAUAUAGAUCAAAGAGAGCGAACCUGGUGAAUUGAAACAUCUUAGUAACCAGAGGAAAAGAAAGCAAAAGCGAUUCUCUUAGUAGCGGCGAGCGAAAGGGGAACAGCCUGCAAGUGAUAGCAGAAGUGUUAGUGGAAUAGUCUGGAAAGUCUAGCGAUACAGGGUGAUAGCCCCGUACACGAAAACACAUCUGUGGUACUAAGCUUGCGAUAAGUAGGUCGGGACACGUGUUAUCUUGACUGAAGAUGGGGGGACCAUCCUCCAAGGCUAAAUACUACCAAUUGACCGAUAGUGAACCAGUACCGUGAGGGAAAGGCGAAAAGAACCCCUGUGAGGGGAGUGAAAUAGAACCUGAAACCGUAUACGUACAAGCAGUAGGAGCAGACUUGUUCUGUGACUGCGUACCUUUUGUAUAAUGGGUCAGCGACUUAUAUUUAGUAGCAAGGUUAACCGAAUAGGGGAGCCGUAGCGAAAGCGAGUGUUAACUGCGCGUUUAGUUGCUAGGUAUAGACCCGAAACCGAGUGAUCUAGCCAUGGGCAGGUUGAAGGUUGAGUAACAUCAACUGGAGGACCGAACCGACUAACGUUGAAAAGUUAGCGGAUGACUUGUGGCUGGGGGUGAAAGGCCAAUCAAACUCGGAAAUAGCUCGUACUCCCCGAAAUGCAUUUAGGUGCAGCGUUGAGUAAAAGUUUUAUAGAGGUAGAGCUACUGAUUGGAUGCGGGGGCUUCACCGCCUACCAAUUCCUGACAAACUCCGAAUGCUAUAAAAUGUUUCUCAGCAGUGAGGGCAUGGGUGCUAAGGUCCAUGUCCGAGAGGGAAAGAACCCAGACCAUCAGCUAAGGUCCCAAAAUAUAUGUUAAGUUGAAAAAACGAGGUUUGUCUGCUUAGACAGCUAGGAUGUUGGCUUGGAAGCAGCCAUUCAUUUAAAGAGUGCGUAACAGCUCACUAGUCGAGCGGACGAGCAUGGAUAAUAAUCGGGCAUAAACAUAUUACCGAAGCUAUGGAUUUGUAUUAUAUACAAGUGGUAGGGGAGCAUUGUAACAGGGUAGAAGGUGUACUGUAAGGUAUGCUGGACUGGUUACAAAAGAAAAUGUAGGCAUAAGUAACGAUAAUGCGGGCGAGAAACCCGCACACCGAAAGACUAAGGUUUCCUCAGCGAUGCUAAUCAGCUGAGGGUUAGUCGGGUCCUAAGGCGAAUCCGAAAGGAGUAGUCGAUGGAUAACAGGUUAAUAUUCCUGUACUUCUUAUAAUUGCGAUGGGGUGACGGAGUAUUGAAAGCACCGCGUACUGACGGAAUAGUACGUUGAAGACUGUAUUUAUAGAACUUAUAGGUAAAUCCGUAAGUUUUGGAGAAGGUUGAUAGUACCACAAAUCUUCGGAUGAGUGGAUAGUGUGCCUAAAAGCUUCCAAGAAAAACCUCUAAGCUUCAGAUUGUAAGAACCCGUACCGUAAACCGACACAGGUAGUUGGGAUGAGAAUUCUAAGGUGCUCGAGAGAUUCAUGGCUAAGGAACUAGGCAAAAUAGACCCGUAACUUCGGGAGAAGGGUCGCCCUGUAGCAAUACAGGGCCGCAGUGAAAAGGUCCAGGCGACUGUUUAUCAAAAACACAGGGCUUUGCUAAAUUGAAAGAUGAUGUAUAAGGCCUGACACCUGCCCGGUGCUGGAAGGUUAAGAGGAGAUGUCAUUCCUUCGGGGAGAAGCAUUGAAUUGAAGCCCCAGUAAACGGCGGCCGUAACAAUAACGGU